rnacentral:rRNA from 1 species
CACGUAGUUAGCCGGGGCUUCUUAGUCAGGUACCGUCAUUUUCUUCCCUGCUGAUAGGGCUUUACAUACCGAAAUACUUCUUCACCCACGCGGCGUCGCUGCAUCAGGGUUUCCCCCAUUGUGCAAUAUUCCCCACUGCUGCCUCCCGUAGGAGUUUGGGCCGUGUCUCAGUCCCAAUGUGACCGUACACCCUCUCAGGCCGGCUACUGAUCGUCGCCUUGGUAGGCCGUUACCCUGCCAACUAGCUAAUCAGACGCGGACCCAUCUCAUACCACCGGAGUUUUUCACACAAAACCAUGCGGUUUCGUGCGCUUAUGCGGUAUUAACAGCCGUUUCCAACUCGUUAUCCCCCUGUACUGAGGCAGGUUAUCCACGCGUUACUCACCCGUCCGCCACUCAGUCAAAUGCUGCUUCCCUUUGAGCAAGCUCUCCAGUCCUGCUGCAAGUGCUUUCGUCGACUUGCAUGAGUUAAGCACGCCGCCAGCGUUCAUCCGUGACGCCAGGA